ensembl:lincRNA Gm6117 predicted gene 6117
GGUCUCACACGGGAUAGGCAAUCACUUGACUACUGACUGUGUCCCCAGCCAUUUGGUUUUUUGUUUUGUUUUGUUGUUGUUGGUGGUGUUUUGCUUGUUUGUUUGUUUGUUUGUUUGAGGCAGGGUCUUUUUAAGUUAUCUUUGCUACAGCCUAAUUUGCAGCUUCAACCUACCAAUUUGUGCCCAGGAACGAGGACCAGGACUGAGGAUGCCCUCUUUCUGCACAAUGCCUGCACAUGCAGAGUCUCUGCAUUUUGACACCCACAAGCUCCGCAGCUUCCCUCUCCUACUGUGACUCAUCAGCAUUCUCCUUUCCAGUGUUUUGGAGUGGGUGUUGAUGGAGGGGAACGUGGAUUUCCAGAUAGCAUCUCAUGCAGCCCAGCCUGGUCUUGAACUCAUUGUGAAGCCAAGGAAGGCCAUGAACUCCUGAUUUCCUCUUCUACCUUCCAAGUGUGGAGAUUACAGACACACACACCUUUAAUUACAGAACUUGGGAGACAGAUUCGAGUGGAUCUCUGUGAGUUCAAGGCCAGCUUGGUCUGUAUUGCAAGUUCCCAGGCCAAGUAGGGCUACAUAAUGAGAUCCUGGCAAAAAGAAAAGAAAAGUAAGAAGGAAGAGGAGGAGAAGAAGAAAAAGAAGAAGGAAAAAGAAAAGGAGGAGAUGGGGAUAAAGGAGAAGAAGGAGAAGAAGAAGGAGGAGAAAGAAGAGGAGGAGGAAGAGGAAGAAGAGGAGGAGGAGGAGGAGGAGGAGGAAGAAGAAGAAGAAGAAGAAGAAGAAGAAGAAGAAGAAGAAGAAGAAGAAGAAGAAGAAGAAGAAGAAGAAGAAAGCAAGAGCAAGCUCCCUCCACUGCUUUGUGUUUUAAGAGAGAAUGACUGUUCAGUGUCCCUGGAAAUUCACCAGAAAGCGAAUCAUUGUGAAGCAGCUCAUGUCUUCUCCAUAAAAAUAACGCUGCCUGCUGUUGAGACUGCCUUCUAGAGGAAGAAUUGGCAUGAGAAGCCAGGCGUGACUGGCGAUGGCACAGGAGCAAAGAACUAUAAACCUUUAUCGUCACUUCAUAUAAUAAACGUAUAAUAUAAUAAACUUAAUAUAAUAAACGUGCGCUCUGAUACCUUUUCAAAUGCCCAGAAAUGGAGAGCGCACCCUGAUUACACAGAAGGCCAUAAAAUGAACAUGCUGCACAUAAAAAAAUUAUACCGUUGUAUAAAUUUUCCUGAAGACUGAUGUAUUAUUUAUGAUAAGCAUUAAUUAAAAGAUUAAUUGCUAAUGUUCUCUGCCCUUGUAGAAGUUAGCAGAAAAAUUAAAGUAGCUUAAAUAUAUUUGGAGAUAA